GGAGGGGUGACCGAGUGGUUUAAGGAGCCGGUCUUGAAAACCGGUGCGGGGCAACCUGCCGUGGGUUCGAAUCCCACCCCCUCCG
rfam:Spirochaeta sp. LTC14_002_19_P3 _18, whole genome shotgun sequence.